rnacentral:rRNA from 1 species
UACGUAGGGUCCAAACAUUACCCGGAUUUAUUGGGCGUAAAGAGUUCGUAGGCGGUUUUGUAAGUUGGAUAUUAAAGACCCAGGCUCAACCUGGGGAAAGUAUUCAAAACUGCAUAACUAGAGGUGUGCAGGGGAAGAUGGAACUUGUGGUGUAGCAGUGAAAUGCGUAGAUAUCACAAGGAACGCCAAUGGUGAAGACAGUCUUCUGGGCACAUCCUGACGCUGAGGAACGAAAGCGUGGGGAGCGAACGGG